GAUGAACGCUGGCGGCGUGCCUAACACAUGCAAGUCGAGCGAUCUUCUUCGGAAGAGAGCGGCGGACGGGUGAGUACCGCGUGGGUAACCUGUCUCAUACACACGGAUAACAUACCGAAAGGUAUGCAAAUACAAGAUGAUAUAAGAGAUUCGCAUGGAUUUCUUAUCAAAGCUCCGGCGGUAUGAGAUGGACCCGCGUCUGAUUAGCUAGUUGGUAAGGUAAUGGCUUACGAAGGCGACGAUCAGUAGCCGACCUGAGAGGGUGAUCGGCCACAUUGGAACUGAGACACGGUCCAAACUCCUACGGGAGGCAGCAGUGGGGAAUAUUGCACAAUGGGCGAAAGCCUGAUGCAGCAACGCCGCGUGAGCGAUGAAGGCCUUCGGGUCGUAAAGAUCUGUCCUCAAGGAAGAUAAUGACGGUACUUGAGGAGGAAGCCCCGGCUAACUACGUGCCAGCCGCCGCCGUAAUAC
rnacentral:rRNA from 1 species